AGCUUCCCACCAAAAAGGUUCCCGGCUCUGUGGUACCAGCCAAUGUCAACCUGCUAGACUCCACCUGAGGUGAUCUGCCUCCUUGUGUGGUUUGCAUAGCACCAUAUGCUGCCCCGACUGAAUUUUUUACUCAGUGUGAAAUAAUUCCUGUUGACAGGAUAACCACAAUCACAGCAGUGCUCCUGGCAGAGCCGGGCUCCCCCAAACCUGUAAAGGCCAGCAUUUCAUCGGACAGUACUUCUGGGAGUGCGCAAAGCUUGU
rnacentral:lncRNA from 1 species